rnacentral:rRNA from 1 species
UAGGGAAUCUUCCACAAUGGACGCAAGUCUGAUGGAGCAACGCCGCGUGAGUGAAGAAGGUUUUCGGACCGUAAAGCUCUGUUGUUGGUGAAGAAGGAUAGAGGUAGUAACUGGCCUUUAUUUGACGGUAAUCAACCAGAAAGUCACGGCUAACUACGUGCCAGCAGCCGCGGUAAUACGUAGGUGGCAAGCGUUGUCCGGAUUUAUUGGGCGUAAAGCGAGCGCAGGCGGAAGAAUAAGUCUGAUGUGAAAGCCCUCGGCUUAACCGAGGAAUUGCAUCGGAAACUGUUUUCUUGAGUGCAGAAGAGGAGAGUAGAAC